ACCUCUCACCUCUGACGGUUUUGUAAUAGAACCGAUCAGAUGCGUGGAUAUGGGCGCCUGCCUGGUGAACAACCUUAUGGCUCGCCUGAAAUGUAUUAGCUGGGAUCUGCAUGUCAGACCGGAGGCGUAAUAAGUUAUUCGUCUCGCGACUUGAUGGUGUAGCCUGCUUCUAAAUCAUUACACUUUUUUGAA
rnacentral:misc_RNA from 1 species